ACCUUCCAUUCUGUUAUGGAUACAAAGUUUAUGUACGUAUAACUUACUCCCUUUUCAUGUCGUUAACGGUGUGUUUUCUACCGAUCAGACUUGGCGGAUUUAUAAAUAACAUUUUAACUUUUUUUAUCGAUCAAUUCUAUCUAGUAUGUCCAUCUUACCAAAUAUGCAAUGAGAUCCACUUCACUAAUUUUGUUACCAU
rnacentral:lncRNA from 1 species